rnacentral:rRNA from 1 species
AGUGAACGCUGGCGGUAGGCCUAACACAUGCAAGUCGAACGGCAGCACAGUAAGAGCUUGCUCUUACGGGUGGCGAGUGGCGGACGGGUGAGGAAUACAUCGGAAUCUACUUUUUCGUGGGGGAUAACGUAGGGAAACUUACGCUAAUACCGCAUACGACCUACGGGUGAAAGCAGGGGAUCUUCGGACCUUGCGCGAUUGAAUGAGCCGAUGUCGGAUUAGCUAGUUGGCGGGGUAAAGGCCCACCAAGGCGACGAUCCGUAGCUGGUCUGAGAGGAUGAUCAGCCACACUGGAACUGAGACACGGUCCAGACUCCUACGGGUGGCAGCAGUGGGGAAUAUUGGACAAUGGGCGCAAGCCUGAUCCAGCCAUAGCGCGUGGGUGAAGAAGGCCUUCGGGUUGUAAAGCCCUUUUGUUGGGAAAGAAAAGCAGCAGGUUAAUACCCCGCUGUUCUGACGGUACCCAAAGAAUAAGCACCGGCUAACUUCGUG